rnacentral:rRNA from 1 species
CCUACGGGUUGCAGCAGUGGGGAAUAUUGGACAAUGGGGGGAACCCUGAUCCAGCCAUGCCGCGUGUGUGAAGAAGGCCUUUUGGUUGUAAAGCACUUUAAGCGAGGAGGAGGCUACCGAGAUUAAUACUCUUGGAUAGUGGACGUUACUCGCAGAAUAAGCACCGGCUAACUCUGUGCCAGCAGCCGCGGUAAUACAGAGGGUGCAAGCGUUAAUCGGAUUUACUGGGCGUAAAGCGCGCGUAGGUGGCCAAUUAAGUCAAAUGUGAAAUCCCCGAGCUUAACUUGGGAAUUGCAUUCGAUACUGGUUGGCUAGAGUAUGGGAGAGGAUGGUAGAAUUCCAGGUGUAGCGGUGAAAUGCGUAGAGAUCUGGAGGAAUACCGAUGGCGAAGGCAGCCAUCUGGCCUAAUACUGACACUGAGGUGCGAAAGCAUGGGGAGCAAACAGGAUUAGAUACCCUAGUAGUC